rnacentral:rRNA from 1 species
UACGAAGGGGGCUAGCGUUGCUCGGAAUCACUGGGCGUAAAGGGUGCGUAGGCGGGUCUUUAAGUCAGGGGUGAAAUCCUGGAGCUCAACUCCAGAACUGCCUUUGAUACUGAGGAUCUUGAGUCGGGAGAGGUGAGUGGAACUGCGAGUGUAGAGGUGAAAUUCGUAGAUAUUCGCAAGAACACCAGUGGCGAAGGCGGCUACUG